rnacentral:misc_RNA from 1 species
AAGUCGUAACAAGGUCUCCGUAGGUGAACCUGCGGAGGGAUCAUUAACUUGUAUGUUGAUGUGUGACAGUUCGCUGUCAUGCAUCAGCAAUCAAACCAAAACAAACAAACCGUGAAUUCGAGUAUUCAGUUACUCAACGCCCCCGAACGUCGAAACAACGAAGUUUACUACUUCGUCUAGUAGCUUUCGGACCAUUUUUUUAAUUCAUAACCUAUUUCACCCGCUCGUAUAUUCAUUGACUGAAAAACAAAAGGGCGUUUGUCGCGUAACAGUGAUCAAACCACCUUGAAACCUUCGAAUUAUUCGAAAUCUAAGCACAACUCUUAGCAACGGAUAUCUUGGUUCUC